rnacentral:rRNA from 1 species
CCUACGGGGCGCGGCAGUGGGGGAUAUUGCACAAUGGGGGGAACCCUGAUGCAGCGACGCCGCGUGGGUGAAGGAGUAUUUCGGUAUGUAAAGCCCUAUCGGCAGGGAAGAAUUUAGACGGUACCUGACUAAGAAGCCCCGGCUAACUACGUGCCAGCAGCCGCGGUAAUACGUAGGGGGCAAGCGUUAUCAGGAUUCACUGGGUGUAAAGGGAGCGUAGACGGCCAGGCAAGCCUGGAGUGAAAGCCCGGGGCCAAACCCCGGGACUGCUAUGGGAACUGUCCGGCUUGAGUGCGGGAGGGGCAGGCGGAAUUCCUGGUGUAGCGGUGAAAUGCGUAGAUAUCAGGAGGAACUCCGGCGGCGAAGGCGGCCUGCUGGACCGCGACUGACGUUGAGGCUCGAAAGCGUGGGGAUCGAACAGGAUUAGAUACCCCUGUAGUC